AUUGAACGCUGGCGGCAGGCUUAACACAUGCAAGUCGAGCGGGGUGAUGGUGCUUGCACUAUCACUUAGCGGCGGACGGGUGAGUAAUGCUUAGGAAUCUGCCUAUUAGUGGGGGACAACAUCUCGAAAGGGAUGCUAAUACCGCAUACGUCCUACGGGAGAAAGCAGGGGAUCACUUGUGACCUUGCGCUAAUAGAUGAGCCUAAGUCGGAUUAGCUAGUUGGUGGGGUAAAGGCCUACCAAGGCGACGAUCUGUAGCGGGUCUGAGAGGAUGAUCCGCCAGACUGGGCCUGAGACACGGCCCAGACUCCUACGGGAGGCAGCAGUGGGGAAUAUUGGACAAUGGGGGGAACCCUGUGCCAGCCAUGCCGCGUGUGUGAAGAAGGCCUUAUGGUUGUAAAGCACUUUAAGCGAGGAGGAGGCUCUUUUGGUUAAUACCCAAGAUGAGUGGACGUUACUCGCAGAAUAAGCACCGGCUAACUCUGUGCCAGCCGCCGCCGUAA
rnacentral:rRNA from 1 species